rnacentral:rRNA from 1 species
GAUGAACGCUGGCGGCGUGCCUAAUACAUGCAAGUCGAGCGAACAGACGAGGAGCUUGCUCCUCUGACGUUAGCGGCGGACGGGUGAGUAACACGUGGAUAACCUACCUAUAAGACUGGGAUAACUUCGGGAAACCGGAGCUAAUACCGGAUAAUAUAUUGAACCGCAUGGUUCAAUAGUGAAAGACGGUUUUGCUGUCACUUAUAGAUGGAUCCGCGCCGCAUUAGCUAGUUGGUAAGGUAACGGCUUACCAAGGCAACGAUGCGUAGCCGACCUGAGAGGGUGAUCGGCCACACUGGAACUGAGACACGGUACAGACUCCUACGGGAGGCAGCAGUAGGGAAUCUUCCGCAAAGGGCGAAAGCCUGACGGAGCAACGCCGCGUGAGUGAUGAAGGUCUUCGGAUCGUAAAACUCUGUUAUUAGGGAAGAACAAAUGUGUAAGUAACUAUGCACGUCUUGACGGUACCUAAUCAGAAGGCCACGGCUAGCUACGUG